GGGGUCAUAGCUCCAGCUGGGAGAGCGCCUGCUUUGCACGCAGGAGGUCUUGCGGUUCGAGUCCGCAUAAGCUCACCA
rnacentral:tRNA from 1 species